rnacentral:tRNA from 1 species
GGCCCGGUGAUGGAAUAGGUAGACAUAGCGGACUUAAAAUCCGCUGCUGCCAUAAGCGGCGUGCCGGUUCGAGUCCGGCUCGGGCCACCA